AUAACCAUUAAUGUAUAAAACCAAGUUGUGGUGUUUAAACCAAGAAUAUAAAGGGGGUUAACCAUAAAGGUGUGUCCUGAAAGGAAGGAAAGGUAAGGUGUCAACCUUAAUUGUGGUGUCAAAACCAAGAAAUGGGGGUUAACCAUAAAGGUGUGUUCCAAAAGGAAGGGGGUUAACCAUAAAGGUGUGUUCUAGAAGGAAUUGCAAUGGUGUUAAAACCAAGAAGAGGAAAUGGGUUAACCAUAAAUGUGUGUCCU
rnacentral:lncRNA from 1 species